ensembl:lincRNA Gm829 predicted gene 829
GGGAGUCUUGUCCUAACAGGGCAGGUCAUAUUGUCUCAUUUUUACUUUUAAUGGAGGAAUAAAUUUUAUAAUUGAGAGCCGUGCUAAACUCUCUACCAGUGGAGCUACAUCCCCAGUGCCUAGGUCAAUUUUUUUCCAGGAAAUAAUGGAUGUGACAUGACUUUGGAAGACAAUUUACAGUGUGAGAAGCAUGGACUCCUGAGUGAUGAAGAACUGGGUGAGCCUAUGAGACAUGCCUCACAAACCCUUCCAUAUCCAGCUCUACCCUAUGUGCUCUCAAGAGCCUUCCGGACUCCCAGAGGUGGAAGGUUCAAAUGGAGAGCAAAGCUGAGGCCUUGGAGCCGUGAUGUGUGGCGGUCCACAGUAGCUACCGGAGGAGGAUGCACGACCUGCUUCAAGACCACCAUGCCUGUCUCAAGGUGUCCCUCAAGCCUGCCUGAUCAUCAGCACAGGGGCCUAGGGGGCCUAUCAACACCCUAGAAAUGAUCUGCCAUAUCCCCACUCCAAUCGGAUCAUUUGCAGGAACCCCCAUCAUGAGUGAGAUGUCAGACUCAGAGGCCAGGGAGCAUCCAGACUCCUAGGGCGUUCACAGCCACCGCAUCUUACUUCUGAAUUUGCAACGAGGGGACUAAGCCUCAGAGAGGUCAAAGUGGCCAGACAAUGACAUGGAAGGACCAAGACAAGAACCCAGGAUGAGCUUCUCCCGCCUGCCUCUCCAGGGC